UACGUAGGGUCCGAGCGUUGUCCGGAAUUACUGGGCGUAAAGAGCUCGUAGGUGGUUUGUCGCGUUGUUCGUGAAAACUCACAGCUCAACUGUGGGCGUGCGGGCGAUACGGGCAGACUGGAGUACUGCAGGGGAGACUGGAAUUCCUGGUGUAGCGGUGGAAUGCGCAGAUAUCAGGAGGAACACCGGUGGCGAAGGCGGGUCUCUGGACAGUUCCUGACGCUGAGGCACGAAGGCCCAGGGGGAGCAAAACGGGG
rnacentral:rRNA from 1 species